rnacentral:rRNA from 1 species
AUGCAGUCGAACGCUUACGAGGGUUUCGGCCCUUGUGGGAGUGGCGCACGGGUGAGUAGCGCGUGGGAACCUGCCCCUUUGUGGGGGAUAACCGAGGGAAACUUCGGCUAAUACCGCAUGCGCCCGGAGUGAUCCGGGGAAAGAUUUAUCGUAGAGGGAGGGGCCCGCGUCGGAUUAGCUGGUUGGUGGGGUAACGGCCUACCAAGGCGAUGAUCCGUAGCUGGUCUGAGAGGAUGAUCAGCCACACUGGGACUGAGACACGGCCCAGACUCCUACGGGAGGCAGCAGUGGGGAAUAUUGGACAAUGGGCGCAAGCCUGAUCCAGCAAUGCCGCGUGAGUGAUGAAGGCCUUAGGGUUGUAAAGCUCUUUCGGCGGGGACGAUGAUGACGGUACCCGCAGAAGAAGCCCCGGCUAACUUCGUGCCAGCAGCCGCGGUAAUACGAAGGGGGCGAGCGUUGUUCGGAUUUACUGGGCGUAAAGGGCGCGUAGGCGGCUCCUCAAGUCAGGCGUGAAAGCCCCGGGCUCAACCUGGGAACAGCGCUUGGGACUGGAGGGCUCGAGUUCGGGAGAGGAGAGUGGAAUUCCCAGUGUAGAGGUGAAAUUCGUAGAUAUUGGGAAGAACACCGGUG